rnacentral:rRNA from 1 species
UACGUAGGGUGCAAGCGUUAAUCGGAAUUACUGGGCGUAAAGCGCACGCAGGCGGUCAUUUAAGUCAGAUGUGAAAGCCCCGGGCUUAACCUGGGAAUUGCAUCUGAAACUGGAUGGCUAGAGUCUUGUAGAGGGGGGUAGAAUUCCAUGUGUAGCGGUGAAAUGCGUAGAGAUGUGGAGGAACACCGGUGGCGAAGGCGACCCCCUGGACAGAGACUGACGCUCAGGUGCGAAAGCGUGGGGAGCAAACAGG